GCCGACGUAGCUCAGUGGCAGAGUAGGGGACUCAUAAGCCCUUGGUCGCUGGUUCGAAUCCAGCCGUCGGCACCG
rnacentral:tRNA from 1 species